rnacentral:rRNA from 1 species
UACGUAGGCAGCAAGCGUUGUUCGGAAUUACUGGGCGUAAAGAGUGUGUAGGUGGUGCUCCAAGUCUGUUGUGAAAUCUCCCGGCUUAACUGGGAGGGUGCGGCGGAAACUGGAAUGCUUGAGGAUGGGAGAGGAAAGCGGAAUUCCUGGUGUAGCGGUGAAAUGCGUAGAUAUCAGGAGGAACACCCGUGGUGUAAACAGCUUUCUGGACCAUUUCUGACACUGAGACACGAAAGCGUGGGUAGCAAACAGG